rnacentral:antisense_RNA from 1 species
CGUUAUGGCGGCUGUGCGCGGGAGACUUCGAGUCUGUCGGGUUUUGCUCAGUGGCCCGGGUUCCAACCUGCGUACAGCUGCCUCCCUU